rnacentral:rRNA from 1 species
CCUACGGGUGGCAGCAGUGGGGAAUAUUGCACAAUGGGCGAAAGCCUGAUGCAGCAACGCCGCGUGAGCGAUGAAGGCCUUCGGGUCGUAAAGCUCUGUCCUCAAGGAAGAUAAUGACGGUACUUGAGGAGGAAGCCCCGGCUAACUACGUGCCAGCAGCCGCGGUAAUACGUAGGGGGCUAGCGUUAUCCGGAAUUACGGGGCGUAAAGGGUGCGUAGGGGGUUUCGAAAGUCGGAGGUGAAAGGCUAGGGUCAAACCGUAGAAAGCCGUUGAAACUGGGAAACUUGAGUGCAGGAGAGGAGAGUGGAAUUCCUAGUGUAGCGGUGAAAUGCGUAGAUAUUAGGAGGAACACCAGUUGCGAAGGCGGCUCUCUGGACUGUAACUGACACUGAGGCACGAAAGCGUGGGGAGCAAACAGGAUUAGAUACCCCUGUAGUC